CUGUGUGUCUCAGGAGGCCGAGCUCAGGGCACCCUCAUCAUGGCCUGGACCCCUCUCCUCCUCACCCUCACUCUCUGCACAGAGGG
rnacentral:pre_miRNA from 1 species